AUUCCGGGGCUGGGGUACCGGGACGAGGGGAGCGCUCUGAAGGGGGAGGCGAACUUGCCUCCGGAACGGGGAUCCCGAAGCGGGCUGGCUGUCAACGGGCUGGAAUCCGUUGGCCUCUCCCCGAAUCCCUGUUCGGAUAUCCUAGUUCCAGCCACCAUGCUCUCUCGCCUGGACUACUGCAGCAGCCUCUAACCAGUGUCCCUGCAGUCCUCCUUGCCUCCCCCCUCCCCCAAGCACCUCCACAAAGCAGCCUGAGUUACCUGUUGAACAUGUGCUGGGAUCAUGUCACUCACCUACUUCAACUUCCUGUGACCUCCCACUGCAUGUGGAAGAAGACGGGUGAUGUCUCAACCUGGCCACAAGGCCUGCAUGAUUUGGCCCUCACCUCUUCUUACUCCUCAGACUCUUCUUGGCUCCCAACUAUGCUCUUUGCAGAACCUAGUGUCUCCCAGCCUCAGGGUGCUUCAGUUUGCUGUGCUGGCUCCCUGGAAUGUUCUUCCGAAAUGUUGGCCUGACUCCUUCUUCCUGUCAUUUGAGUCUCCCCUUCUUGAAGAGGUUCCUCUCAGAAUGCCAGCUCCACAGACAGGACCUUGUCUGUCCUGUUCCGCCUAUUUCCAGAGCUUGAACAGGCCUUGGCAUAUGGUAGGGCCUCAAAUAUUUGUUGACUGGACAGGAAUGGAUUCUAUUCAAGAAAACCCUUACCCGGCCAUCCUCCCAGAACUCAACUUCUUCCCAAGCCUAGGAGGGGUGCUCAAGGGUGGCCCCAAAGGAUGCUGGGGAACACCCAACCCCCUGGGUAUCAGGAGCCUCUGAAGCCAUGCGUGGCAAUACUGCCAGGGCCUGGAGGGUCUACACAGUGCCUCCUGGCUAACUGGAAAGAAGCCCCUCAGGCAGAUGCGGACCCCUGGGGCUUGGCUGAGCAGAAAGUGCCUUUGUCAGGAGGAAACGGGCCUCUUUCUCUGGAGAGGUGCAGCCCAGCCAGGACACAAGGCUAGGUGAGUGGAGGCCUCCUGAAUGGGGCUCGUUUGUGUAGCGACAACUUCUCAGCCAGACAAGACAGCCCUGGAACCCCCUCUCCUCCCACCUUGGCUCCAGAGCAUCCCUAUCUGUAGGGCACUGCUGGGAGGGUGCCCAGGAGAGGAAGACUUAGUCCUUGGACACGAGGCAUCAGAUCCACCUGGGAGAACAGGGCUGCCUCCUGCAGGCUCACGUGGGAGGCAGUGGCCGCCCCAGCAUGUAGACCUCACAACCCUACUGCUCAAGAGGUGGGGCCGGGCUCCUGGCCCACUUUUGUGCACCAACCAUUUGGAUCCCAUUCCUUCUCUUUGCUGAUUCCAAGGAUUUAUGCCUCAAGGUGCAUCUUAAAAAACAACAAACAAAUAAAACUUAAAGAAGGCAAGAAACCAAAUUGCAAAUCAAAGCAAGAGUCUUUGGGUGCUGGCUCAUAGAGGGCUCAGUUCUAGCCCUCUUUCCUUGUGAUUGUACUGUUCCCCGGUCUCAUGCCCACCACACUGUGUGUAAAACAUUCCCUGAGUGCAGACACUGGAGCUACAGGAGAAACAAGUUGCCCACAGCGGGCUGCCUAUGUUUCCAGACUCCUUAUCUGUUCCAGCCUGUUCGAUUCCUCCCAAAGGAAACUAAUAUCAGGUCCCGCUAUGGUCUGU